rnacentral:rRNA from 1 species
GACGAACGCUGGCGGCGUGCCUAAUACAUGCAAGUCGUGCGGACCUUUUAAAAGCUUGCUUUUAAAAGGUUAGCGGCGGACGGGUGAGUAACACGUGGGCAACCUGCCUGUAAGACUGGGAUAACGCCGGGAAACCGGGGCUAAUACCGGAUCGUAUUUCCUCCGCCUGGAGGAAAAAGGAAAAGCGGCUUCUGCUGCCACUUACAGAUGGGCCCGCGGCGCAUUAGCUAGUUGGUGGGGUAACGGCCCACCAAGGCAACGAUGCGUAGCCGACCUGAGAGGGUGAUCGGCCACAUUGGGACUGAGACACGGCCCAAACUCCUACGGGAGGCAGCAGUAGGGAAUCUUCCGCAAUGGACGAAAGUCUGACGGGGCAACGCCGCGUGAGUGAAGAAGGCCUUCGGGUCGGAAAACUCUGUUGCCGGGGAAGAACAAGUGCCGUUCGAACAGGGCGGCGCCUUGACGGUACCCGGCCAGAAAGCCACGGCUAACUACGUG